rnacentral:rRNA from 1 species
UGCAAGUCGAACGGCAGCACGGGAGCAAUCCUGGUGGCGAGUGGCGAACGGGUGAGUAAUAUAUCGGAACGUGCCCAAUCGUGGGGGAUAACGCAGCGAAAGCUGUGCUAAUACCGCAUACGAUCUAUGGAUGAAAGCGGGGGAUCGCAAGACCUCGCGCGAGUGGAGCGGCCGAUAUCAGAUUAGCUAGUUGGUGAGGUAAAGGCUCACCAAGGCGACGAUCUGUAGCUGGUCUGAGAGGACGACCAGCCACACUGGAACUGAGACACGGUCCAGACUCCUACGGGAGGCAGCAGUGGGGAAUUUUGGACAAUGGGCGCAAGCCUGAUCCAGCAAUGCCGCGUGCAGGAUGAAGGCCUUCGGGUUGUAAACUGCUUUUGUACGGAGCGAAACGGUUCUCUCUAAUAAAGGGGGCUAAUGACGGUACCGUAAGAAUAAGCACCGGCUAACUACGUGCCAGCAGCCGCGGUAAUACGUAGGGUGCGAGCGUUAAUCGGAAUUACUGGGCGUAAAGCGUGCGCAGGCGGUUUUGUAAGACAGAUGUGAAAUCCCCGGGCUCAACCUGGGACCUGCAUUUGUGACUGCAAAGCUAGAGUACGGUAGAGGGGGAUGGAAUUCCGCGUGUAGCAGUGAAAUGCGUAGAUAUGCGGAGGAACACCGAUGGCGAAGGCAAUCCCCUGGACCUGUACUGACGCUCAUGCACGAAAGCGUGGGGAGCAAACAGGAUUAGAUACCCUGGUAGUCCACGCCCUAAACGAUGUCAACUGGUUGUUGGGUCUU